AGCGGCGAACGGGUGAGUAACACGUAGGUGAUCUGCCCAUCAGACGGGGACAACGAUUGGAAACGAUCGCUAAUACCGGAUAGGACGAAAGUUUAAAGGUGCUUCUGGCACCGCUGAUGGAUGAGCCUGCGGCGCAUUAGCUAGUUGGUAGGGUAAAGGCCUACCAAGGCGACGAUGCGUAGCCGACCUGAGAGGGUGAACGGCCACACUGGGACUGAGACACGGCCCAGACUCCUACGGGAGGCAGCAGUAGGGAAUCUUCGGCAAUGGGCGAAAGCCUGACCGAGCAACGCCGCGUGAAUGAUGAAGGCCUUCGGGUUGUAAAAUUCUGUUAUAAGGGAAGAACGACUUUAGUAGGAAAUGGCUAGAGUGUGACGGUACCUUAUGAGAAAGCCACGGCUAACUACGUGCCAGCAGCCGCGGUAAUACGUAGGUGGCGAGCGUUAUCCGGAAUUAUUGGGCGUAAAGAGCGCGCAGGUGGUUGAUUAAGUCUGAUGUGAAAGCCCACGGCUUAACCGUGGAGGGUCAUUGGAAACUGGUCGACUUGAGUGCAGAAGAGGGAAGUGGAAUUCCAUGUGUAGCGGUGAAAUGCGUAGAGAUAUGGAGGAACACCAGUGGCGAAGGCGGCUUCCUGGUCUGUAACUGACACUGAGGCGCGAAAGCGUGGGGGAGCAAACAGGAUUAGAUACCCUGGUAGUCCACGCCAUAAACGAUGAGUGCUAAGUGU
rnacentral:rRNA from 1 species